UCUUCAAAGCUUUAUAACUAAUACAUGUCUUAUACUAUGCAAUUGUCUUACCUUUUCGACGUGAAGCCAUUCAAAAUCUGCUGGUGCAUCCAUGUGAAUAUCAUCCACACCUAGAAACAAUUCAAUCCAAAAUUUGGUGAAUCACUAGAAAUCAUCUUAGCAACAAAAAGCGUGUAAAAUCUCUUGCAACCUGUAGGCAAAACAAUUUGAAGCGGCUGGGCAGCGUUGCCGUGUUAGACAAUGGAAGAUAAUAGAGAAUUUCUCUUCGAGUCAAGCAACUGGAUUAUACAGACCAAACAAUCAUGUGUACCAAAUGUCUUUCAUAGCACGCCCCUCCGUUGAUUCCAUGUAAAAGUGUAAUUAGCGAUGCAUGUUUUUUCAUUGAUUGAGUUUGAAAGUAUUACGAGUGGAACUUUAAAGAUAUGUUUCUUAAUUGGUAAGAAAGUAUAUAUGUAAUUUUAUUUUGGGGGAGGGGUGGAGUGUUUAAUUUGUUUUACUUCGUUUCUUGGUAUGAAUGUUGUUUCUAAAGUGAAAAAAAUAUUUUGGUUUUUUAAAGCGUUAA